rnacentral:lncRNA from 1 species
UGCUAGCUAGCCUUCAUAGAUUUAAAAUUUCAAAUAAUUUCAAAACUUAUCACUCCAGUUCAAAUAAUUAGCUAGCCUUCAUAUGAUUAUUUGAAAUUAUCACUCUAGUUCAUAAGAGAAAAAUAGCACAAGUUCAUAAGUUACUGAAGCAAUAAAAAAUCAGAAAAAUGAAGGACAUACCUUUAUGAGAGUGUAAGCGAGGGCGGCGUCGGAGACUCCGGCAAACACAAUGACUAUGCCGUCGUUUCUCUUCUGGCCUAGCGUUGCUGCCUUGCCGGUGGGUUCGAACAAUAGGGAAGCAGAUAGGACGGAGGAGGAGAGUCGCCGCCUAGAGGCCGUCGUUUCUCUUCUGCCCUAGCGUUGCUGCCUUGCCGAUUGUUUGAGAUUUGUGGAAAGAUUCGGCGCCGAUUAUUUGAGAAGAAGCGAGAAAGACUAAAUCUCUCAAUUACACACCGAAUUGUUUCGGUUUGAGAUUUGUGGGAAGAUUGAGACUGUUAACUCAUAUUGUGAGAGAAAUUGAGACUUUGAGAGAUGUAACGGCUGAAGCCAUGGAUGGAGAUUUUGGGAGAUGUAACGGCUGAAGCCAUGGAUGGAGAUUUUGAGAGGUGGCUUUGACCUUGAGAGAUGUAACGGCUGCAGCAGGCUUUGUAAAAUUGUGAGAAUUGUGAGUAAAAAACCCUUUUCAGAUAAUGUAAAAUAAAGCAUUGUGAGUGUGCCGAGAGAGAAACAAUAUGGGGGCUAGAAUAUGUAUUGCUUUAUAGAAUUGAUAGAUUCUAUCUUGCAUUAUCAUAAUUUACCAUACAUCAAUUAUAACCC